GAGAUCCUUGGGAGAGAGCAUAUAAAAGGCUGGCACAAGCCCGUGUUCACACCUGAUUCCUGCUCAGAGCAGAGAUUGCAAUUGCAGUGAGAAACCCCCAACAAGAAUAUCACAGUCAAAUUCCAAGAACAAGGAACUCAGUCAAAAGGCCCACCCAAGGACCUAGAAAGCCACAUGUUUCUCCACCUCUAGUUUAGAAGAUUCCAUGAGAUUAAUUGAUCAAAAUUCAUUGUUUCUGAGAGUGAAUAGUUGGAUUUCCCUCAAAAAGUAUCUCAGGGCAAAGGUAACUAGCACUCAUUCUGACAAUGGGGGUUCACACCUUCUAAAUGUGAAGUUGGCAUGGCAAGAGAUCCCUGGGAGAAAGCAUAUAAAAGGCCAGCACCAGUCCAUUUUCAGCAUUCCUGCUCAGAGCAGAGAUUGCAGUUGGAGUUCUGUUCCCCCCACCCCAGAAGCCUCCAGUAAGGACAUCAAAGUUCAACUUCUAGAAAAAGGCAGCACACAGUGCUUACCUCCACUUUCUAAGCAGAAAUAUUUCAGAAUUACAAAAGACAAACUGUAG
rnacentral:lncRNA from 1 species